AGUGAACGCUGGCGGUAGACCUAACACAUGCAAGUCGAACGGCAGCACAGUAAGAGCUUGCUCUUACGGGUGGCGAGUGGCGGGUGGGUGAGGAAUACAUCGGAAUCUACUUUUUCGUGGGGGAUAACGUAGGGAAACUUACGCUAAUACCGCAUACGACCUACGGGUGAAAGCAGGAGAUCUUUGGACCUUGCGCGAUCGCAUGAGCCGAUGUCGGAUUAGCUAGUUGGCGGGGUAAAGGCCCACCAAGGCGACGAUCCGUAGCUGGUCUGGGAGGCUGAUGAGCGACACUGGAACUGAGACACGGUCCAGACUCCUACGGGAGGCAGCAGUGGGGAAUAUUGGACAAUGGGCGCAAGCCUGAUCCAGCCAUACCGCGUGGGUGAAGAAGGCCUUCGGGUUGUAAAGCCCUUUUGUUGGGAAAGAAAAGCAGCAGGUUAAUACCCCGCUGUUCUGACGGUACCCAAAGAAUAAGCACCGGCUAACUUCGUG
rnacentral:rRNA from 1 species